AUUGAACGCUGGCGGCAGGCCUAACACAUGCAAGUCGAGCGGAGCGGCGGACGGGUGAGUAAUACCUAGGAAUCUGCCUGGUAGUGGGGGAGAACGAUAGGAUACGGACGCUAAUUCCGUAUACUAUCAGAUGAGCCUAGGUCGGAUUAGCUAGUUGGUGAGGUAAUGGCUCACCAAGGUUACGAUCCGUAACUGGUCUGAGCGGAUGAGCAGUCACACUGGAACUGAGACACGGUCCAGACUCCUCCGGUAGGCAGCAGUGGGGAAUAUUGGACUAUGGGCGAAAGCCUGGUCCAGCCAUGCCGCGUGUGUGAAGAAGGUCUUCGGAUUGUAAAGCACUUUAAGUUGGGAGGCGUUACCGACAGAAUAAGCACCGGCUAACUCUGUGCCAGCAGCCGCGGUAAUAC
rnacentral:rRNA from 1 species